CCUACGGGGGACAGCAGUCGAGAAUCAUUCACAAUGGGGGAAACCCUGAUGGGGCGACGCCGCGUGGGGGAAUGAAGGUCUGCGGAUUGUAAACCCCUGUCAUGGGGGAGCAAAUUAAAAAGAUAGUACCACAAGAGGAAGAGACGGCGAACUCGGGGCCAGCAGCCGCGGUAAUACAGAGGUCUCAAGCGUUGUGCGGAACCACUGGGCGUAAAGGGUGCGUAGGCGGUUGAGUAAGUCGGGGGUGAAAGGCGCGGGCUCAACCCGCGGACGGCCCCUGAGACUGCGAGACUAGAGUACUGGAGGGGGAACCGGAAUUCUCGGUGUAGCCGU
rnacentral:rRNA from 1 species